rnacentral:rRNA from 1 species
UACGGAGGGUGCAAACGUUGCUCGGAAUCAUUGGGCGUAAAGCGCACGUAGGCGGCCUGUUAAGUCGGAUGUGAAAGCCCCGGGCUCAACCCGGGAAGUGCAUACGAAACUGGCAGGCUUGAAUAUGGAAGAGGGUCGCGGAAUUCCCGGUGUAGAGGUGAAAUUCGUAGAUAUCGGGAGGAACACCAGUGGCGAAGGCGACGAUCUGGGAAGAUACUGACGCUGAGGUGCGAAAGCGUGGGGAGCAAACAGG